ACGCGCGUUUGAUCGUUUCUUCUGCUGUUGACUUGGUGUUGCUCCUCAUAAUAUUACUGAUGGAGAACAACCCUAGUUCAUCCAGAUCAAGUACUGAUCGCAAAACCAUUGAGCGAAAUAGGAGAAACCAAAUGAAAGCCCUUUACUCCGAGCUUAAUUCUCUUGUACCCCAUCAAAAUUCAAGGGAAGUUACAUCACUCCCAGAUCAACUGGAUGAAGCUGUAACCUAUAUAAAGAAGAUGCAGAUAAACUUGGAGAAAAUGAAUGAGAAAAAAGACAGCCUCAUGGGCAUUGAUCAAAAGCCAAAUGCAGGCACAAAUGGUUCUGGAAUGACGUACUCGUCAGUGCAGCUAAGAUCACCACAAAUUGAGAUUAGUGAAAUUGGUUCGGCUUUACAGGUUGUUUUGAUAACUGGGUUGGAUUUUCAGUUCAUGUUCAAUGAGACCAUUCGCGUGCUUCAUGAAGAAGGAACUGAGAUUGUUAAUGCCAAUUUCACCGUUGUUGAUGAUAUCGUGUUUCACACAAUACAUGCUAAGGUUGGGGAGUCGGCAUUAAUGGGUUAUGAAGCUGCAAGAAUAUCUGAGAGACUAAAGAAAAUUUGUCAGUAUUGAUAAUUGAUCGUAUAAUUUGAAUUUAUGUUUUGAUCAUCACCGUGUGCUUAAUUGUAUCCACUUGCGAAACAAGCUAGCUGCAAGCUGCUCAUGAUCAGUGCAAUAUAUUUCUGAUGGAGAGGUUGUGAUCUCUAUUCACAUAUAUAAUGCUUCAACAAGCUGAUCAAAUCAGCUGGAUGAUAUACACAUGAUCAGUACACAAGAUCUAAGUUCAAUUGGAAAACCAUAUAUAUAGUUAAUUGUUUAUAUAACUAACUAAUUCCCUAUCAAUCGUGUUU